GAUGAACGCUGGCGGCGUGCCUAAUACAUGCAAGUCGAGCGAACGGACGAGAAGCUUGCUUCUCUGAUGUUAGCGGCGGACGGGUGAGUAACACGUGGAUAACCUACCUAUAAGACUGGGAUAACUUCGGGAAACCGGAGCUAAUACCGGAUAAUAUUUUGAACCGCAUGGUUCAAAAGUGAAAGACGGUCUUGCUGUCACUUAUAGAUGGAUCCGCGCUGCAUUAGCUAGUUGGUAAGGUAACGGCUUACCAAGGCAACGAUGCAUAGCCGACCUGAGAGGGUGAUCGGCCACACUGGAACUGAGACACGGUCCAGACUCCUACGGGAGGCAGCAGUAGGGGAUCUUCCGCAAUGGGCGAAAGCCUGACGGAGCAACGCCGCGUGAGUGAUGAAGGUCUUCGGAUCGUAAAACUCUGUUAUUAGGGAAGAACAUAUGUGUAAGUAACUGUGCACAUCUUGACGGUACCUAAUCAGAAAGCCACGGCUAACUACGUGCCAGCAGCCGCGGUAAUACGUAGGUGGCAAGCGUUAUCCGGAAUUAUUGGGCGUAAAGCGCGCGUAGGCGGUUUUUUAAGUCUGAUGUGAAAGCCCACGGCUCAACCGUGGAGGGUCAUUGGAAACUGGAAAACUUGAGUGCAGAAGAGGAAAGUGGAAUUCCAUGUGUAGCGGUGAAAUGCGCAGAGAUAUGGAGGAACACCAGUGGCGAAGGCGACUUUCUGGUCUGUAACUGACGCUGAUGUGCGAAAGCGUGGGGAUCAAACAGGAUUAGAUACCCUGGUAGUCCACGCCGUAAACGAUGAGUGCUAAGUGUUAGGGGGUUUCCGCCCCUUAGUGCUGCAGCUAACGCAUUAAGCACUCCGCCUGGGGAGUACGACCGCAAGGUUGAAACUCAAAGGAAUUGACGGGGACCCGCACAAGCGGUGGAGCAUGUGGUUUAAUUCGAAGCAACGCGAAGAACCUUACCAAAUCUUGACAUCCUUUGACAACUCUAGAGAUAGAGCCUUCCCCCUCGGGGGACAAAGUGACAGGUGGUGCAUGGUUGUCGUCAGCUCGUGUCGUGAGAUGUUGGGUUAAGUCCCGCAACGAGCGCAACCCUUAAGCUUAGUUGCCAUCAUUAAGUUGGGCACUCUAAGUUGACUGCCGGUGACAAACCGGAGGAAGGUGGGGAUGACGUCAAAUCAUCAUGCCCCUUAUGAUUUGGGCUACACACGUGCUACAAUGGACAAUACAAAGGGCAGCGAAACCGCGAGGUCAAGCAAAUCCCAUAAAGUUGUUCUCAGUUCGGAUUGUAGUCUGCAACUCGACUACAUGAAGCUGGAAUCGCUAGUAAUCGUAGAUCAGCAUGCUACGGUGAAUACGUUCCCGGGUCU
rnacentral:rRNA from 1 species